ACUCCUACGGGAGGCAGCAGUGGGAAUAUUGCACAAUGGGGAACCCAUGAUGCAGCCAUGCCGCGUGUGUGAAGAAGGCCUUCGGGUUGUAAAGACACUUUCAGUAGGGAGGAAGGUAGUGGUAGUUAACACCUGCAACUUAUUUGACGUUACCUACAGAAGAAGCACCGGCUAACUCCGUGCCAGCAGCCGCGGUAAUACGGAGGGUGCGAGCGUUAAUCGGAAUUACUGGGCGUAAAGCGCAUGCAGGCGGCCUGUUAAGUCAGAUGUGAAAGCCCGGGGCUUAACCUCGGAAUUGCAUUUGAAACUGGC
rnacentral:rRNA from 1 species